GACGAACGCUGGCGGCGUGCUUAACACAUGCAAGUCGAACGGAAAGGCCCUGCUUUUGUGGGGUGCUCGAGUGGCGAACGGGUGAGUAACACGUGAGUAACCUGCCCUUGACUUUGGGAUAACUUCAGGAAACUGGGUCUAAUACCGGAUAGGAGCUCCUGCUGCAUGGUGGGGGUUGGAAAGUUUCGGCGGUUGGGGAUGGACUCGCGGCUUAUCAGCUUGUUGGUGGGGUAGUGGCUUACCAAGGCUUUGACGGGUAGCCGGCCUGAGAGGGUGACCGGCGACAUUGGGACUGAGAUACGGCCCAGACUCGUACGGGAGGCAGCAGUGGGGAAUAUUGCACAAUGGGCGGAAGCGUGAUGCAGCAACGCCGCGUGCGGGAUGACGGCCUUCGGGUUGUAAACCGCUUUCGCCUGUGACGAAGCGUGAGUGACGGUAAUGGGUAAAGAAGCACCGGCUAACUACGUG
rnacentral:rRNA from 1 species